ACUGAGUGGCCGCCGUACCGCAGUAUUCUCAUCACCCUCUCUGGAGACAGCUAAAGAAAACAGAUGCUCUAAAUGGCACCUUACUCUUAUAGCACCCAGAGGAGUCUUUCAGAUAACAUUCAGUUGUACUUGGAAAAAGGAAACUAAGACACUGACAAAAUUACGUGUAUAUGGCCCUGAGAGAAUUGUAAUCAGCACGUUUUGCUCUAGUGCUGCCAUCUUCUGGAAGCUCCAUGCACUUGCACAUAAGUUGUCAUAAACUCCAAACGUCUGAUUCAGAAUGCCCCAAUCUCUGUGCCCCAGGCCUGUCCGGACUUACUGGAGCUGCCCAAACCCCUGCGACCUGGUGCUGGAGACCCCAGAGGGGCGA